rnacentral:rRNA from 1 species
UACGUAGGUGGCAAGCGUUAUCCGGAAUUAUUGGGCGUAAAGCGCGCGCAGGCGGUUUCUUAAGUCUGAUGUGAAAGCCCACGGCUCAACCGUGGAGGGUCAUUGGAAACUGGGAAACUUGAGUGCAGUAGAGGAAAGUGGAAUUCCACGUGUAGCGGUGAAAUGCGUAGAGAUGUGGAGGAACACCAGUGGCGAAGGCGACUUUCUGGACUGUAACUGACGCUGAGGCGCGAAAGCGUGGGGAGCAAACAGG